rnacentral:snRNA from 1 species
AUGCUUGCUUCUGCAGCACAUAUACUAACAUUGGAAUGAUACAGAGAUUAGCACUGUCUCUGUGCAUGCAAAUUCAUGAAGUGUUCCAUAUUAAA